UACAGAGGGUGCGAGCGUUGUUCGGAAUUAUUGGGCGUAAAGCGCUUGUAGGCGGCACGUCAAGUCGCGUGUGAAAUCCCCAGGCUUAACCUGGGAAGUGCGCGCGAAACUGACGAGCUUGAGUGCCGGAGAGGGUCGCGGAAUUCCCGGUGUAGAGGUGAAAUUCGUAGAUAUCGGGAGGAACACCAGUGGCGAAGGCGGCGACCUGGACGGACACUGACGCUGAGAGACGAAAGCUGAGGGGAG
rnacentral:rRNA from 1 species